AAAAUUAGAAAGGGCCUAAACGAAGGAAAACCCAUCAGGUUGGAAAAACCCAAAUAUCUUAAAUCGACUAUGUCUCCCAAGAAGGAAAAUCCUAACGCGCGUUGCCACCAUUGUCAAACCCAAAAACGACGAUUUGUGCUCUACUUCGACGACGAUCUGCACCAAGCGACUGCUCCGACGACGAUCUGCUCCAGCGACGAUUUUCUUGGCGUUCUCCUCCGACGAAAUUGUGUGCUGUGAACUGAAAUGAUCUCUCCAGCGACGAUCUCCUCUGGCGGCGCGUUCUCCUCCUUCAGUGAUCUUCUAUGAUUUGGCUUCGAUAUGAAGAUUUGUCGCCGCUCAUCUCAUCGCCAUCAUUCAUCUCUGCGCCAUCGCAAGCAACACCGUUGUCGCUAUCUUCUUCGAUCUGGUUUUCAAUCUGGCUCAUCUCCUCGCCAUGGCAAGCAACACCGUUGUUGCUACCUUCCACUGUUUGGUUUUGCCAUCUCUAUCACUUCUAAUAGGAGAACACUAAAAUGAAGCAUCCUUAAUUGCUUUAUGAGGCCAAGCUUUACAACAUUCUUCAAGGAGGAAGUAUUUUUUUUCUUUUUUUUUUUGGGAAAUAUUAAGCUAUUUUCUGAGUGAGGAAGAAAAACAAAAGAAUUGACUUUUGACUUUUGAGAUUUUAUUUUCUUAAUAUGUAGGUGGCAUUCCUAGCAUAAGAUGGUCUGGUGUAGAUAGGGAGGAUAAUGUUCUCGUGAUGGAUUUGCUUGGGCCUAGUCUUGAGGAUCCAUUUGUGUAUUGUGGAAGGAAGUUCUCAUUGAAGACAGUAUUGAUGUUGGCUGAUCAAAUGAUGACUAGAAUAGAAUAUGUGCAUUCCAAAGGUUUUCUACAUAGAGAUAUAAAGCCUGACAACUUCCUCAUGGGACUUGGUCGGAAAGCAAACCAGGUAGCUACACGGUUAUUGCUUUGUUCAGAGAGAAACAUUUUUAGAUAUGGUAUGUGAUGCUAUGUCUGAGUACAAGUAUCUCAGUCCCAAUCAGAGAGCAGAUUUGGUGCUAGCCUGCAGGAUGCGAGGAAGAAAGGAGUCUGUGACAGUGCUGUUGUGUGGCACUUGUGGCUGUGGCAAAUCCACAUUGUCUUCACUGCUGAUAAUGGAAUUGGAAGUCCAAUGUAUGGUCCCUUGCGGAUUGGUAAGGCAGAACCGAUAAAUCUUCAGUUUGGUUUUUAUGGGAUCAUUGCUUGGCCCAGUGAUGGUGGUACUAGUCGAGCUGGAAAUGUUGAUGAGUCGAGGGCUGAUGAUUCUGGUAGUAGAUAUUUAUCCUCUUGCUGUAGCUCACCGACCUCAGAAGGUCCUGCGAAAGAGCUCAAGGAAGAUUUCUCAGUGCAUGAUAGUGAUGAAGAGUUAGACGACGAUGAUCAGCUAGAGGUAGGUAGUAAUGAUGAUUUAAGUGAUGAUGGUCACAAAGACGUCCAUGACGAGAAAGGGUCAGUUGAUGAGGAAUCUACAAAGUACCUUUUCCUCCUGAUCUUGAUAAGAAGG